AUGUCUCAACGUUUCUCUAUUCACAGCGACUCUUCCCAAAAAUAACACUCCUCUUAUCCACUCCUACUGUAACUGCUUUUCCACUUCCUUUCCCGGCGAUAAUGGCCGUUUCGGGCAACGAGUCACCACUACUCGCCGGAGAAACAGCAAGUCGGAGAUUUUUCUCGGCGACGAAGAGGAAGUCCAAGCAGGAGAAAACGAGAAAUUUUCCAGCAUAGCUGAAGAAACAUCUAGGGCUAUGAGAUUGAGGAGGUCUAAAGGUGUUGUAGACACAGAGGAGGAAGAAGAAGAGGACGAUUCGUCGAUGUUGCUAUCUCUGAGUGUGAAACCAGACCGAAACAUGGCUUUACUUGAUGAUUAUGAAAUGGAGGAGCUCGAUUUUGUUCCUGAAAAUCCUAAUCAUCGCAGUGGAUAUGUAGCUGUGCUUGGGAAGCCGAAUGUUGGGAAAAGUACACUUUCCAAUCAAAUGGUUGGGCAGAAACUGUCAAUUGUUACUGAUAAACCUCAAACUACUCGUCAUCGAGUUCUUGGAAUAUGUUCUGGUCCAGAUCAUCAGAUGAUACUUUAUGACACUCCCGGUGUCAUAGAGAAGAAAAUGCAUAAGCUAGAUACAAUGAUGAUGAAGAAUGUCCGAAGUGCAGCUGUUAAUGCAGACUGCGUGCUUGUUGUUGUGGACGCAUGUAAGGUUCCUGCAAAGAUAGAUGAAGUGUUGGAAGAGGGUGUUGGAGACCUA
rnacentral:misc_RNA from 1 species